CGCCAGACUCCUACGGGAGGCAGCAGUGAGGAAUAUUGGUCAAUGGGCGCGAGCCUGAACCAGCCAAGUAGCGUGAAGGAUGACUGCCCUACGGGUUGUAAACUUCUUUUAUAAAGGAAUAAAGUGAGGCACGUGUGCCUUUUUGUAUGUACUUUAUGAAUAGGGAUCGGCUAACUCCGUGCCAGCAGCCGCGGUAAUACGGAGGAUCCGAGCGUUAUCCGGAUUCAUUGGGUUUAAAGGGUGCGUAGGUUGUUUUAUAAGUUAGCGGUGAAAUACCGAUGCUCAACAUCGGGGCUGCCGCUAAUACUGUAGGACUAGAGAUCGGAUGCAGCAGGCGGAAUGUGUAGUGUAGCGGUGAAAUGCAUAGAUAUUAGGAGGAACACCAGUGGCGAAGGCGGCUUACUGGACUGUAACUGACGUUGAGGCUCGAAAGCGUGGGGAGCAAACAGGAUUAGAUACCCUAGUA
rnacentral:rRNA from 1 species